CUGUUGGGUUACACGGAGUGCGGGCAUUUUGCAUCCUCGUCAGGAGAGAGCAGUUUUCAACGUCGCCAAAUUGGUGCAUUUCUUCUGCACAAUAAAGGUUAUAAGGAGCCUGCCACGAUAUCUUUUGGCUGUGAGAAAUGCGGAGCAGCGGUCUGAGCACAGGCUCCAUUGUGACGCUGACAGUGAGAGGAUCCAGGGCGGAGUCCUAACUGAAGGGACGGACGGAACCUUAGGAUUGAUCGGCGGAGGCGGAACCAUGGUGAGUGGAGGAAUUGGCGGAGCAGAGAGGCUGACGGACCUGGGCGACAUUGCAGGCUUGGAAGGCUGGGACUGAGCUGCUGACUUGUGGGACUGAGGCAGCGACAGGGACUUGGAUGACUGGGGCGACAAUGGGC